AACGAACGCUGGCGGCAUGCCUAACACAUGCAAGUCGAACGAGACCUUCGGGUCUAGGGGCGCACGGGUGCGUAACGCGUGGGAACCUGCCCUUAGGUUCGGAAUAACUCCCCGAAAGGGGUGCUAAUACCGGAUAAGGUCUUCGGACCAAAGAUUUAUUGCCCUUGGUUGGGCCCGCGUUGGAUUAGCUAGUUGGUAGGGUAAAAGCCUCCCAAGGCGUCGAUCCAUAGCUGGUCUGAGAGGAUGAUCAGCCACACUGGGACUGAGACCCGGCCCAGACUCCUACGGGAGGCAGCAGUGGGGAAUAUUGGACAAUGGGCGGAAGCCUGAUCCAGCAAUGCCGCGUGAGUGAUGAAGGCCUUAGGGUUGUAAAGCUCUUUUACCCGGGAUGAUAAUGACAGUACCGGGAGAAUAAGCUCCGGCUAACUCCGUG
rnacentral:rRNA from 1 species